rnacentral:rRNA from 1 species
UACGUAGGUGGCGAGCGUUAUCCGGAUUCAUUGGGCGUAAAGAGCGCGUAGGUGGUCCUUCAAGUCAGAUGUUAAAUCUCUCGGCUUAACUGGGAGUUGUCAUCUGAUACUGCUGGACUUGAGGGUAGUAGAGGGAGGUGGAAUUCCCGGUGUAGUGGUGAAAUGCGUAGAUAUCGGGAGGAACACCAGUGGCGAAAGCGGCCUCCUAGGCUAUUCCUGACACUGAGGCGCGAAAGCGUGGGGAG